ACACAAGCAUUUCGCUACACCUGUAAUAACAUCUUCUAAAAAUGUGUAUGUGACCAAUAAAAUGAGAUUUGAUAGCAUAGAACAUGUCCCAGGUGAGGUUUCAUGUACAGGGCAGCAACAAGUGCAGUGUAAGUGUGGGGUCUUGACCAUACGGAGGAAGGAAUGGAGAGUACCAGGCUGGCUGCACCAGUAAAGUUCAUCAUGAUGUGUCUUCUGCCCCGGGAUGGGGGGCCCAUGUGGUGAUAGAACAUCCCAGAUAUUCACACCCAACCCGGAACAUCUGUCUGUGUCAGUACUCCUGAGGGUUUGGCAGCUUCCUCCCUGGGCUCUGGUGACAGCUGCCUGCAGGGUGUGAAACCAGGGGGUGGUGGGUGUCACUCACUGACACCMCUCAUCAUAAUCACCUGCAUAAAUUAAAAGGUA